rnacentral:rRNA from 1 species
AGUGAACGCUGGCGGUAGGCCUAACACAUGCAAGUCGAACGGCAGCACAGUAAGAGCUUGCUCUUACGGGUGGCGAGUGGCGGACGGGUGAGGAAUACAUCGGAAUCUACUUUUUCGUGGGGGAUAACGUAGGGAAACUUACGCUAAUACCGCAUACGACCUACGGGUGAAAGCAGGGGAUCUUCGGACCUUUGGCGAUUGAAUGAGCCGAUGUCGGAUUAGCUAGUUGGCGGGGUAAAGGCCCACCAAGGCGACGAUCCGUAGCUGGUCUGAGAGGAUGAUCAGCCACACUGGAACUGAGACACGGUCCAGACUCCUACGGGAGGCAGCAGUGGGGAAUAUUGGACAAUGGGCGCAAGCCUGAUCCAGCCAUACCGCGUGGGUGAAGAAGGCCUUCGGGUUGUAAAGCCCUUUUGUUGGGAAAGAAAAGCAGCAGGUUAAUACCCCGCUGUUCUGACGGUACCCAAAGAAUAAGCACCGGCUAACUUCGUG